AAACUGAAGAGUUUGAUCAUGGCUCAGAUUGAACGCUGGCGGCAGGCUUAACACAUGCAAGUCGAACGAUGACUCUCUAGCUUGCUAGAGAAGAUUAGUGGCGGACGGGUGAGUAACAUUUAGGAAUCUGCCUAGUAGUGGGGGAUAGCUCGGGGAAACUCGAAUUAAUACCGCAUACGACCUACGGGUGAAAGGGGGCGCAAGCUCUUGCUAUUAGAUGAGCCUAAAUCAGAUUAGCUAGUUGGUGGGGUAAAGGCCCACCAAGGCGACGAUCUGUAACUGGUCUGAGAGGAUGAUCAGUCACACCGGAACUGAGACACGGUCCGGACUCCUACGGGAGGCAGCAGUGGGGAAUAUUGGACAAUGGGGGCAACCCUGAUCCAGCCAUGCCGCGUGUGUGAAGAAGGCCUUUUGGUUGUAAAGCACUUUAAGCAGGGAGGAGAGGCUAAUGGUUAAUACCCAUUAGAUUAGACGUUACCUGCAGAAUAAGCACCGGCUAACUCUGUGCCAGCAGCCGCGGUAAUACAGAGGGUGCGAGCGUUAAUCGGAAUUACUGGGCGUAAAGCGAGUGUAGGUGGCUCAUUAAGUCACAUGUGAAAUCCCCGGGCUUAACCUGGGAACUGCAUGUGAUACUGGUGGUGCUAGAAUAUGUGAGAGGGAAGUAGAAUUCCAGGUGUAGCGGUGAAAUGCGUAGAGAUCUGGAGGAAUACCGAUGGCGAAGGCAGCUUCCUGGCAUAAUAUUGACACUGAGAUUCGAAAGCGUGGGUAGCAAACAGGAUUAGAUACCCUGGUAGUCCACGCCGUAAACGAUGUCUACUAGCCGUUGGGGUCCUUGAGACUUUAGUGGCGCAGUUAACGCGAUAAGUAGACCGCCUGGGGAGUACGGCCGCAAGGUUAAAACUCAAAUGAAUUGACGGGGGCCCGCACAAGCGGUGGAGCAUGUGGUUUAAUU
rnacentral:rRNA from 1 species